UAAGUAAAUAGUCCGUGAUGGUUGUGAUCAUUUUUCGGGAAGGGUAUUUCGCUAAUCGCUCUGAAUUACUGCGUUACCAUGCAAGUCUCCCCAAAACAAUUUCUGUGAAAAUAGUUCGUCUUGUUAUGAAUAUUUAGCAGGUGGCAAUAUGACCGAAUCAUGCACCAUGCCACUGCUUGUAUCGAAUGAGAUCUCUUGUAGUAGCCGACCUACAUCAGUUCCGCUCCCUGUAAACUUGGUAUUAAGUUCCUGUUCAGAAUGACUAACCCAGGGAGAAAGUUUGGUGUGGUAACGCCACAAUAUCCGAUCAGACUGACUAUCAUACGAAAGAACACGGCUUUCUGUGACACCGAAGAGAAAUGAAACGCUGUAUCACUUUCAGAAACCGCUAUUAAUAACUGUGGAAUCAAAACAACCUUUGACAAUGACGUGCGUGACAUGAGCUAGUCAACGCAGCGUCGUAGCCCGUUUUGUAGUUAAUUAGCUAGCUCGCGGUGUCCAUCAGUGGCAAGGCACCCGCUGUUGUUUCAAGACGAGAGAUCUGUGAUGCUGUCUCCAGGGUAGAGAGGAAUCGUCCAGUGGCAGACGGGAUUUUGGAUGAACUGAUGUGACUAAUUGCAGCUCUUUAGAAUUGUGAGGUGUUUCUCUGAUGCUGGUGAAUCCCCCCUCCUGGCUGUGACUGCUCUGCACUUCCUGUUCCCAAACGGCGGUGUUCCCGCCAUGGCCCUGCCCCCGAUCCUCGCCCUCUCCCCUGUCCUGGCGCUGCUCGUCGUCGUCCCCGGUUACUCUCAGUACGCGGGACGAGGAGGCCGGCCCCUGCUCCUGUACGAUCGCACCCUCCAAACCGAACGGCAGUGCAACAACGCUUGUCGGACCAAUCCAGCGUGUAACUGGUAUAUUUUUGAGAAAAGGAACAGCAGGUGCUAUUUUUUUUGGUGUCCAGAUGUUAGCGCCUGCCAAAACAUCCCCCUGGAAGACCUUCUACCAAACCACGAAAUGAAUGACCAGUCAGUCUUUGGACCUGCCGGUUCCGUGUCUGAUCGCACCAGCGAGGGGGGCCGUGCUGUGGCCCAGGCCCACAAUCAGGCUCCAGUACAGGCCCAGAAUCAGGCUCCAGUCCAUGCCCAAAAUGUGGUUCCAGUCCAGGCCCAGAAUACGGAUCCAGUCCUGGCCCAGAAUAAGACUCCAGUCCAUGCCCAAAAUGUGGUUCCAGUACAGGCCCAGAAUAAGGAUCCAGUCCAUGCCCAAAACGUGGUUCCAGUACAGGCCCAGAAUAAGGAUCCAGUCCAGC